rnacentral:rRNA from 1 species
GACGAACGCUGGCGGCGUGCUUAACACAUGCAAGUCGAACGGAAAGGCCCUGCUUUUGUGGGGUGCUCGAGUGGCGAACGGGUGAGUAACACGUGAGUAACCUGCCCUUGACUUUGGGAUAACUGCAGGAAACUGGGGCUAAUACCGGAUAGGAGCUCCUGCUGCAUGGUGGGGGUUGGAAAGUUUCGGCGGUUGGGGAUGGACUCGCGGCUUAUCAGCUUGUUGGUGGGGUAGUGGCUUACCAAGGCUUUGACGGGUAGCCGGCCUGAGAGGGUGAACGGCCACAUUGGGACUGCGGUACGGACCAGACUCCUACGGGAGGCAGCAGUGGGGAAUAUUGCACAAUGGGCGGAAGCCUGAUGCAGCAACGCCGCGUGCGGGAUGACGGCCUUCGGGUUGUAAACCGCUUUCGCCUGUGACGAAGCGUGAGUGACGGUAAUGGGUAAAGAAGCACCGGCUAACUACGUG